CAAUCUCCAACUUCAUCCUUUUUUAGCUAUUACACAAGAAAGAAUGAACUAACUAAAAUCUGGACUAACCUAUACUAGCUUAAAUUAAGAGUUUUGCAGUUUAAGAGCUACAUUUUUAGUGAUUUUCUAUGUUCCUCCAAGCUCCAAGUUUAGUUCAAAUGAAAGACACAAACUCCUAUUUAUAGAGAAUUUUUCAAGUCUCUUUGUAUCUUCUCCAACAUGAACUUUUGACAAAAUUAGCUUCAAAAGUCAAGAUUUGUGGUUCAAUGAAAUCAAGGAGAUUUGAAGUGACAUAAAAUUAUUUUUUGAUGAUGCUUGAGCUUGGUUUCUAGUCACCAAAGUGUCUUGUCAAAUCUCCAAUCAAAAGCAAGAAAGAGUAGCUCCAAAAGAAAUCAAGUUGCACAAGUUGUGCAACUUGCAUCAAAAUUUUGGCUAAGGAACCGGUGAUAGAACCAGUCUUGCUUCCCAUGGUUUCAUGGCCGGUUUGUGUAGAUAACCAGCUAAGAAACUGGCUGAGUUUCAACCAGUUUGAUGUCUGUUUUUUUUGCUCUACGCCGCUAUCAAUUUUCUUGCUUCAAUGCUUCUUGCAUCAUUCCUCGACUUGGCUACUUGAUAAUUGAUAUAUUCGUUAUCCUCAUCCCUUUUUCUACAAAUGCAAUCACACAAAAUGAGUAAAAGUGGACAAAGAUAAUAACAUUAAUCAAACUAUACUCAAGCAAUUAAUUCUUAAGAAAAGUGCCACUUGAACUCUUGAUUCUAGUCGAAAAUAACUAAAAAACUUCUAAAAAGUGCCACAAAAUAUAGUACCCAAUAAGCAUUUAUCAAUUGAAAAACCUUAUUUUACUUUUUUUUUUUAUAAUAAAACAUAUUUCAUUAAAGGAUUACUGGAAAUCGUCCAGCACAAUUGAUAUACAUUGCUGCCCUGAUGGCAGAUAAACAUGCACUAAAAUUAUAGAUCUUCAAUUUAACAAAUACAUAAGAUUUGAGAAAUUAAGGACAGAUCUAAAUAGUACCAUAAAUUUGAAAAACAUUCCAUCAUAGAAUAAGUCGCUGCAGCUCUCUUUGUGCAUGCUGUAAUCGUCAGAUCUGCUAAUCAACAGUUGUAAGGUCCAAUAAGAAUGAUGAGAUCUGCCGAGAUAGAUCCAAAUCUGAAAUAUUCCCUCAGAUCUGUUAUCCAACUGGUUCAAGCUCAAAACUGAAAAUGAGAUCUGAUGAGAAGAGUGAAGAAAUUUUAGAUCUAACAUAUAGAUCUAAAAAACUCCAAGAUUUGAGAAAAUAAAGAAC
rnacentral:lncRNA from 1 species